AUUGAACGCUGGCGGAAUGCUUUACACAUGCAAGUCGAGCGGCAGCACGGGGGCAACCCUGGUGGCGAGCGGCGAACGGGUGAGUAAUACAUCGGAACAUGCCCAGUCGUGGGGGAUAACACUUCGAAAGAAGUGCUAAUACCGCAUACGUCCUGAGGGAGAAAGCGGGGGAUCUUCGGACCUCGCGCGAUUGGAGUGGCCGAUGUCAGAUUAGCUAGUUGGUGGGGUAAAGGCCUACCAAGGCAACGAUCUGUAGCUGGUCUGAGAGGAUGAUCAGCCAAACUGGGACUGAGAAACGGCCCAGAAUCCUACGGGAGGCAGCAGUGGGGAAUUUUGGACAAUGAGGGCAACCCUGAUCCAGCCAUCCCGCGUGAGUGAAGAAGGCCUUCGGGUUGUAAAGCUCUUUCGGCAGGAACGAAACGGCGAGCUCUAACAUAGCUUGCUAAUGACGGUACCUGAAGAAUAAGCACCGGCUAACUACGUGCCAGCAGCCGCCGUAAUAC
rnacentral:rRNA from 1 species